ensembl:misc_RNA Metazoa_SRP Metazoan signal recognition particle RNA
GCCGGGCAUAGUGGUGCAUGCCUGAAAUCCCAGCUACUCAGGAGGCUGAGGUGGAAGGAUUGCUUGAGCCCAGGAGCUCAAGGCUGCAGUUAGCUAUGAUUGUGCCUGUGAACAGCCACUGCACUCCAGCCUGGGCAACAUACCAAGACUCUAUCUCUU